CCUACGGGUGGCAGCAGUGAGGAAUAUUGGUCAAUGGGCGCGAGCCUGAACCAGCCAAGUAGCGUGAAGGAUGACGGCCCUACGGGUGGUAAACUUCGUUUAUAAAGGAAUAAAGUGAGGCACGUGUGCCGUUUUGUAUGGACUUUAUGAAUAAGGAUCGGCUAACUCCGUGCCAGCAGCCGCGGUAAUACGGAGGAUCCGAGCGUUAUGCGGCUUUAGGGGGUUUAAAGGGAGCGUAGAUGGGUUGUUUAGUCAGUUGUGAAAGUUUGCGGCUCCACCGUAAAAUUGCAAUUGAUACUGGCAGUCUUGAGUACAGUUGAGGUAGGCGGAAUUCGUGGUGUAGCGGU
rnacentral:rRNA from 1 species